AACGAACGCUGGCGGCAUGCCUAACACAUGCAAGUCGAACGAGACCUUCGGGUCUAGUGGCGCACGGGUGCGUAACGCGUGGGAAUCUGCCCUUGGGUUCGGAAUAACAGCGAGAAAUUGCUGCUAAUACCGGAUGAUGACGUAAGUCCAAAGAUUUAUCGCCCAAGGAUGAGCCCGCGUAGGAUUAGCUAGUUGGUGAGGUAAAGGCUCACCAAGGCGACGAUCCUUAGCUGGUCUGAGAGGAUGAUCAGCCACACUGGGACUGAGACACGGCCCAGACUCCUACGGGAGGCAGCAGUGGGGAAUAUUGGACAAUGGGCGAAAGCCUGAUCCAGCAAUGCCGCGUGAGUGAUGAAGGCCUUAGGUGUAAAGCUCUUUUACCCGGGAUGAUAAUGACAGUACCGGGAGAAUAAGCUCCGGCUAACUCCGUGCCAGCAG
rnacentral:rRNA from 1 species